GGCUCAAUGGUCUAGUAGUAUGAUUCUCCCUUCGGGCGGUGGUCCGGGCCGAUAGGCCUUUAUUGGGAGAGGUCUCGGGUUCAAUUCCCGAUUGAGCCC